GGAAGUAAAAGCCGUAACAAGGUUUCCGUAGGUGAACCUGCGGAAGGAUCAUUAUUGUAUAACCGAGGUGCGAGGGCUGUCGCUGACCCGAAAGGUCGUGCACGCCCGAGUGCCCUCACACACAUCCAUCUCACCCCUAUGUGCACCACCGCGUGGGUUCCCCUUUGGCUUGUUCGGAGGGGGGCUUACGUUUUCACACAAACUUUGUAUGCAGUGUAGAAUGUAUUUUUUGUUUUUGCGAUCACGCAAUCAAUACAACUUUCAACAACGGAUCUCUUGGCUCUC
rnacentral:misc_RNA from 1 species